rnacentral:rRNA from 1 species
UCUUUUUCUUUUGUCGCUGGUUCGGUUUUUGAUAAAACAUGUUUUUUUUAGGGUAUAGGUGAUAGAGAUGUGUUGAUGGUUUUAAGUACUGUGAAGGAAUGUUUUAAAGGUUUGGAAGAAAUAAGCGGUUUCUACUUUUUGUAUCAUGGUUUGGUGAGUUUCAAAAUUUAUCUUAUUGGUCUCGAAACUCUGUGAUCUACUCCUUUUACGUUUAGGACUUUUCUUGUGCUGUUGCAUUAGUGCGUGGAUAGUGGGGGGUAGUAGUGAUAUGCUUUCGAACAGGGUGAUAGCUUGUUUCCACUUUUUCUUUUUAGAAGAGGCGGUGUUCUUUAUUCUUUUCCUGCUGGGGACAAGCUCAGCUGGUUGCUAAAAAUGUUAUUUUUUUGAUGGGGGUGAAGUAGGCACAAAAGCUGCCAGUUUUUGGAGUUCGUUUUAGAUUGGAUAAUUGUUUUCGUUCUUUUUGUUUUUAUGUGGGCUUUAUCUGUGACUUUGUAUGGUGUUUGAUAAUGCUAGUAUUAGUAUUUCUCUCUUGUUGUUAGCGGUGUUGUUUUUGUUUGCGCCCGGUUUUUGAGUGUGAGCUUAAGUUGGAGAAGAAGGAACUCGGCAAAUUAGUGACUCCGUCUGUUUAGCAAAAACAUAGCUUGUUGUUGGUUUUAUAAUAGGUGAUUUCUGCCCGGUGUUUUUAGAAUAAACGGCCGCGGUACUCUGACCGUGCAAAGGUAGCAUAAUCAUUUGUCCUUUAAUUGUGGGCUGGGAUGAAGGGGAAGAUCGUGAGUUUGGCUGUCUCCUUUCUAUUUUUUGAAUUUGCUGUCUGUGUGAAGAAGCAUUGUUGGUAAAGAGGGACGAGAAGACCCUAUUAAGCUUUACCUUUGUUUAGUGGGCCUGGUCUUUUAUGUAUUUAGGCUUGCUUUAAAAGGUUUGGUUGGGGUGACCGGAGAAGAUGUGGAUCUUCUUUUUUGUUUUUACUUUCUGUUGAAUGUUUGAUCCAAGAUUUUUUGAUUCAGGGAAUUAGUUACUAUAGGGGUAACAGCGUAAUUUUUUCAUAAAGUUCUUAUUGAGGAAGAAGGUUGCGACCUCGAUGUUGACUUGCCGCCCCCUCUUUUAGGUGUAGCAGCUGGGAGGGUUAGUCUGUUCGACUAUUAAAGUGGCACGUGAGUUGAGUUCAGACCGGCGUGAGCCAGGUUGGUUUCUAUCUUUUUUAUUUUGUUGGAAAGGGAGUAGUACGAAAGGACCCUCUUUUUGGAUGGUGGUCUAUGG